GAAUAUUGGACAAUGGGCGAAAGCCUGAUCCAGCCAUGCCGCGUGAGUGAUGAAGGCCCUAGGGUUGUAAAGCUCUUUCACCGGUGAAGAUAAUGACGGUACCCGGAGAAGAAGCCCCGGCUAACUUCGUGCCAGCAGCCGCGGUAAUACGAAGGGGGCUAGCGUUGUUCGGAAUUACUGGGCGUAAAGCGCACGUAGGCGGACAUUUAAGUCAGGGGUGAAAUCCCGGGGCUCAACCUCGGAACUGCCUUUGAUACUGGGUGUCUUGAGUGUGGAAGAGGUCAGUGGAAUUGCGAGUGUAGAGGUGAAAUUCGUAGAUAUUCGCAGGAACACCAGUGGCGAAGGCGGCUGACUGGUCCACAACUGACGCUGAGGUGCGAAAGCGUGGGGAGCAAACAG
rnacentral:rRNA from 1 species